GGAAGGAUCAUUAUUGAAUUUU
rnacentral:rRNA from 1 species